GGACGAACGCUGGCGGCGUGCUUAACACAUGCAAGUCGAGCGGUAAGGCCCUUUCGGGGGUACGACGAGCGGCGAACGGGUGAGUAACACGUGGGUGACCUGCCCUCAGCUCUGGGAUAAGCCUGGGAAACCGGGUCUAAUACUGGAUAUGACUCCAUGACGCAUGUUGUGGGGUGGAAAGCCUUGUGCGGCUGAGGAUGGGCCCGCGGCCUAUCCAGCUUGUUGGUGGGGNGAUGGCCUACCAAGGCGACGACGGGUAGCCGGCCUGAGAGGGCGACCGGCCACACUGGGACUGAGACACGGCCCAGACUCCUACGGGAGGCAGCAGUGGGGAAUCUUGCGCAAUGGGCGAAAGCCUGACGCAGCGACGCCGCGUGAGUGAUGAAGG
rnacentral:rRNA from 1 species